rnacentral:piRNA from 1 species
UUCUGUUGUCUUCAUCAAAUUGUUUGGCCA